GACUUCGAACCUUCUUGGAGCAACCCGCUUCCUUGGCACCAUGGAUCCAAGAUCCUCUCAAAAAUGUAGUGGAUUAGGAUUCUAGGAGAGGGAUUCUAGGGUUUCUAGGGUUUAGAGGUUAGGCGGCUCAAGAAUGGCUCGAAAGAAAUAAGAAAGGAACAAUGACGGUCCGACAAAAAAUCUCAUUUAAAAAAUAGGAACCCUGAC
rnacentral:lncRNA from 1 species